rnacentral:rRNA from 1 species
GACGAACGCUGGCGGCGUGCUUAACACAUGCAAGUCGAACGGAAAGGCCCUGCUUUUGUGGGGUGCUCGAGUGGCGAACGGGUGAGUAACACGUGAGUAACCUGCCCUUGACUUUGGGAUAACUUCAGGAAACUGGGGCUAAUACCGGAUAGGAGCUCCUGCUGCAUGGUGGGGGUUGGAAAGUUUCGGCGGUUGGGGAUGGACUCGCGGCUUAUCAGCUUGUUGGUGGGGUAGUGGCUUACCAAGGCUUUGACGGGUAGCCGGCCUGAGAGGGUGACCGGCCACAUUGGGACUAAGAUACGGCCCAGACUCCUACGGGAGGCAGCAGUGGGGAAUAUUGCACAGUGGGCGGAAGCCUGAUGCAGCAACGCCGCGUGCGGGAUGACGGCCUUCGGGUUGUAAACCGCUUUCGCCGGUGACGAAGCGUGAGUGACGGUAAUGGGUAAAGAAGCACCGGCUAACUACGUG